rnacentral:misc_RNA from 1 species
GAUGAAGAACGCAGCGAAAUGCGAUAAGUAGUGUGAAUUGCAGAAUUCAGUGAAUCAUCGAAUCUUUGAACGCACAUUGCGCCCCUUGGUAUCCCGAGGGGCAUGCCUGUUCGAGCGUCAUUUCACCACUCAAGCCUGGCUUGGUGUUGGGCGACGUCCUCCUCCCGGGGGACGGGCCCGAAAGGCAGCGGCGGCACCGCGUCCGGUCCUCGAGCGUAUGGGGCUUCGUCACCCGCUCUUGUAGGCCCGGCCGGCGCUUGCCGACACAUCAAUCUUUUUUCCAGGUUGACCUCGGAUCAGGUAGGGAUACCCGCUGAACUUAAGCAUAUCAAUAAGCGGAGGA